rnacentral:lncRNA from 1 species
AAUAAAAAUUGUAACUCACAAAUAACUCAUUAAUAACUCAAAAGAUUAAAUCCAAUUCAUGAUUAGUAACGUUUUUGAAUUACACUUCAAACUUAAUCAAAUGUAACUCAUGUCACCAAUUAAUGCCAAAAAAACAUAUCUUCAUUUCAACUAAGAGAAGCCAAUAUAGUCCCAUCCCCAUCUACAAAUUAUCUCGUGCAUAAACCACUGGGUCAUAUUCAACAUUUUAACUUUUUAUCUUCUGAAAUC